rnacentral:lncRNA from 1 species
UUCCUUGUGUGCUUAAACAAGGCGUCACUAAAGAUGAAGCAAAUGGCAUAAUAGAGAAGAUAAAAGCUGCUGGAGGAGUUGCAGUUAUGGAGUGAUAGCUUAAGGUUUCUUGUAGUUUUGUUUCUUGAAUCUCUUUGAAGAGGUUGGUUUACUGCGUGGAAGCAGGAGCAGAAUACCAACUUUACUGCGUGGAAGCAGGAGCAGAAUACCAACUCACCACAUAACAGAAUGGUAUUUGAUUUUGUGGAUGGAUCGCAAUCGUUAUCAUAGACAUGCAUGAAUAAUUAGUCUCAACUCGGUUUCUGCAUUGCAUCACU